CCUACGGGGGGCAGCAGUGGGGAAUAUUGCACAAUGGGCGCAAGCCUGAUGCAGCCAUGCCGCGUGUGUGAAGAAGGCCUUCGGGUUGUAAAGCACUUUCAGCGGGGAGGAAGGCGGUGAGGUUAAUAACCUCAUCGAUUGACGUUACCCGCAGAAGAAGCACCGGCUAACUCCGUGCCAGCAGCCGCGGUAAUACGGAGGGUGCAAGCGUUAAUCGGAAUUACUGGGCGUAAAGCGCACGCAGGCGGUCUGUCAAGUCGGAUGUGAAAUCCCCGGGCUCAACCUGGGAACUGCAUUCGAAACUGGCAGGCUAGAGUCUUGUAGAGGGGGGUAGAAUUCCAGGUGUAGCGGUGAAAUGCGUAGAGAUCUGGAGGAAUACCGGUGGCGAAGGCGACUCUCUGGUCUGUAACUGACGCUGAGGAGCGAAAGCGUGGGGAGCGAACAGGAUUAGAUACCCUGGUAGUC
rnacentral:rRNA from 1 species